GACGAACGCUGGCGGCGUGCUUAACACAUGCAAGUCGAACGGAAAGGCCCUGCUUUUGUGGGGUGCUCGAGUGGCGAACGGGUGAGUAACACGUGAGUAACCUGCCCUUGACUUUGGGAUAACUUCAGGAAACUGGGGCUAAUACCGGAUAGGAGCUCCUGCUGCAUGGUGGGGGUUGGAAAGUUUCGGCGGUUGGGGAUGGACGCGCGGCUUAUCAGCUUGUUGGUGGGGUAGUGGCUUACCAAGGCUUUGGCGGGUAGCCGGCCUGAGAGGGUGACCGGCCACAUUGGGACUGAGAUACGGCCCAGACUCCUACGGGAGGCAGCAGUGGGGAAUAUUGCACAAUGGGCGGAAGCCUGAUGCAGCAACGCCGCGUGCGGGAUGACGGCCUUCGGGUUGUAAACCGCUUUCGCCUGUGACGAAGCGUGAGUGACGGUAAUGGGUAAAGAAGCACCGGCUAACUACGUG
rnacentral:rRNA from 1 species